GACGAACGCUGGCGGCGUGCUUAACACAUGCAAGUCGAGCGGUAAGGCCCUUUCGGGGGUACACGAGCGGCGAACGGGUGAGUAACACGUGGGUGACCUGCCCUCAGCUCUGGGAUAAGCCUGGGAAACCGGGUCUAAUACCGGAUAUGACUCCAUGACGCAUGUUGUGGGGUGGAAAGCCUUGUGCGGCUGAGGAUGGGCCCGCGGCCUAUCAGCUUGUUGGUGGGGUGANGGCCUACCAAGGCGACGACGGGUAGCCGGCCUGAGAGGGCGACCGGCCACACUGGGACUGAGACACGGCCCAGACUCCUACGGGAGGCAGCAGUGGGGAAUCUUGCGCAAUGGGCAAAGCCUGACGCAGCGACG
rnacentral:rRNA from 1 species